GACGAACGCUGGCGGCGUGCUUAACACAUGCAAGUCGAACGGAAAGGCCCUGCUUUUGUGGGGUGCUCGAGUGGCGAACGGGUGAGUAACACGUGAGUAGCCUGCCCUUGACUUUGGGAUAACUUCAGGAAACUGGGGCUAAUACCGGAUAGGAGCUCCUGCUGCAUGGUGGGGGUUGGAAAGUUUCGGCGGUUGGGGAUGGACUCACGGCUUAUCAGCUUGUUGGUGGGGUAGUGGCUUACCAAGGCUUUGACGGGUAGCCGGCCUGAGAGGGUGACCGGCCACAUUGGGACUGAGAUACGGCCCAGACUCCUACGGGAGGCAGCAGUGGGGAAUAUUGCACAAUGGGCGGAAGCCUGAUGCAGCAACGCCGCGUGCGGGAUGACGGCCUUCGGGUUGUAAACCGCUUUCGCCUGUGACGAAGCGUGAGUGACGGUAAUGGGUAAAGAAGCACCGGCUAACUACGUG
rnacentral:rRNA from 1 species